UACGUAGGUGGCAAGCGUUGUCCGGAAUUAUUGGGCGUAAAGCGCGCGCAGGCGGUCCUUUAAGUCUGAUGUGAAAGCCCACGGCUCAACCGUGGAGGGUCAUUGGAAACUGGAGGACUUGAGUGCAGGAGAGAAGAGUGGAAUUCCACGUGUAGCGGUGAAAUGCGUAGAGAUGUGGAGGAACACCAGUGGCGAAGGCGGCUCUCUGGGACGGUACUGACGCUGAGACGCGAAAGCGUGGGGAGCGAACAGG
rnacentral:rRNA from 1 species